rnacentral:rRNA from 1 species
GAUGAACGCUGGCGGCGUGCAUAAUACAUGCAAGUCGAGCGCAGCGGGGACGGGUGAGUAAAACGUGGAUAACCUACUAUAAGACUGGGAUAACUUCGGGAAACCGGAGCUAAAACGGAUAAUUAUAGAUGAAUCAGCGCUGCAUUAGCUAGUUGGUAAGGUAACGGCUUACCAAGGCAACGAUGCAUAGCCGACCUUAGGGGGGGAUCGGCCACACUGGAACUGAGAAACGGUCCAGACUCCUACGGUAGGCAGCAGUAGGGAAUCUUCCGAAAUGGGCGAAAGCCUGACGGAGCAACGCCGCGUGAGUGAUGAAGGUCUUCGGAUCGUAAAACUCUGGUAUUAGGGAAGCGGUACCUAAUCAGAAAGCCACGGCUAACUACGUGCCAGCAGCCGCGGUAAUUC